AGCAGCCGCGGUAAUUCCAGCUCCAAUAGCGUAUAUUAAAGUUGUUGCAGUUAAAAGCUCGUAGUUGAAUUUCGGGGUUAGCAGGUCGGUCGUGCCAUCGGUAUGAACUGGUCUCGCUGAUCCCUCCCUCUUGACGAACUGUGAUGCCAUUAAUUUGGUGUCGCAGGGAAUCAGGACUGUUACUUUGAAAAAUUGAGUGUUUAAAGCAGGCUCACGCUUGAAUACAUUAGCAUGGAAUAAUGAAAUAGGACGUUUGAUCCUAUUUUGUUGGCUUCUAGGAUUGACGUAAUGAUUAAUAGGGAUAGUUGGGGGCAUUAGUAUUCAAUUGUCAGAGGUGAAAUUCUUGGAUUUAUUGAAGACUAACUACUGCGAAAGCAUUUGCCAAGGAUGUUUUCAUUAAUCAAGAACGAAAGUUAGGGAUCGAAGACGAUCAGAUACCGUCGUAGUCUUAACCAUAAACUAUGCCGACUAGGGAUCGGAUGAUGUUAAUUUUUUAAUGACUAC
rnacentral:misc_RNA from 1 species